rnacentral:rRNA from 1 species
GAUCCUGGCUUAGGAUGAACGCUAGCUACAGGCUUAACACAUGCAAGUCGAGCGGAACUGCUUCGGCAGUUAGCGGCAGACGGGUGAGUAACACGUAUCCAACCUUCCCCUUACUCGGGUAUAGCCUCGGGAAACUGAGAGUAAUCCCCGAUGUGGUGUACGCUUCGCAUGUAAUGCACACCAAAGAUUAAUCGGUAAGGGAUGGGGAUGCGUUCCAUUAGCUAGUAGGCGGGGUAACGGCCCACCUAGGCGAUGAUGGAUAGGGGUUCUGAGAGGAAGGUCCCCCACAUUGGAACUGCGACACGGUCCAAACUCCUACGGGAGGCAGCAGUGAGGAAUAUUGGUCAAUGGCCGAGAGGCUGAACCAGCCAAGUAGCGUGCAGGAUGACGGCCCUACGGGUUGUAAACUGCUUUUGUGCGGGAAUAACGGUCGACACGUGUGUUGAUGUGCAUGUACCGUACGAAUAAGGAUCGGCUAACUCCGUGCCAGCAGCUGC